AUUGAACGCUGGCGGCAGGCCUAACACAUGCAAGUCGAGCGGAUGAAGGGAGCUUGCUCCUGGAUUCAGCGGCGGACGGGUGAGUAAUGCCUAGGAAUCUGCCUGGUAGUGGGGGAUAACGUCCGGAAACGGGCGCUAAUCCCGCAUACGUCCUGAGGGAGAAAGUGGGGGAUCUUCGGACCUCACGCUAUCAGAUGAGCCUAGGUCGGAUUAGCUAGUUGGUGGGGUAAAGGCCUACCAAGGCGACGAUCCGUAACUGGUCUGAGAGGAUGAUCAGUCACACUGGAACUGAGACACGGUCCAGACUCCUACGGGAGGCAGCAGUGGGGAAUAUUGGGCAAUGGGCGAAAGCCUGAUCCAGCCAUGCCGCGUGUGUGAAGAAGGUCUUCGGAUUGUAAAGCACUUUAAGUUGGGAGGAAGGGCAGUAAGUUAAUACCUUGCUGUUUUGACGGUACCAACAGAAUAAGCACCGGCUAACUUCGUG
rnacentral:rRNA from 1 species